rnacentral:rRNA from 1 species
AUUGAACGCUGGCGGCAUGCCUUACACAUGCAAGUCGAACGGCAGCACGGGAGCAAUCCUGGUGGCGAGUGGCGAACGGGUGAGUAAUAUAUCGGAACGUGCCCGGUCGUGGGGAUAACGUAGCGAAAGCUACGCUAAUACCGCAUACGAUCUACGGAUGAAAGCGGGGGAUCGCAAGACCUCGCGCGAUUGGAGCGGCCGAUAUCAGAUUAGGUAGUUGGUGAGGUAAAGGCUCACCAAGCCGACGAUCUGUAGCUGGUCUAAGAGGACGACCAGCCACACUGGGACUGAGACACGGCCCAGACUCCUACGGGAGGCAGCAGUGGGGAAUUUUGGACAAUGGGCGCAAGCCUGAUCCAGCAAUGCCGCGUGCAGGA